AUUGAACGCUGGCGGCAUGCCUUACACAUGCAAGUCGAACGGUAACAGGUCUUCGGAUGCUGACGAGUGGCGAACGGGUGAGUAAUACAUCGGAACGUGCCUAGUAGUGGGGGAUAACUACUCGAAAGAGUGGCUAAUACCGCAUGAGAUCUACGGAUGAAAGCAGGGGAUCGCAAGACCUUGUGCUACUAGAGCGGCCGAUGGCAGAUUAGGUAGUUGGUGGGAUAAAAGCUUACCAAGCCGACGAUCUGUAGCUGGUCUGAGAGGACGAUCAGCCACACUGGGACUGAGACACGGCCCAGACUCCUACGGGAGGCAGCAGUGGGGAAUUUUGGACAAUGGGCGCAAGCCUGAUCCAGCAAUGCCGCGUGCAGGAUGAAGGCCUUCGGGUUGUAAACUGCUUUUGUACGGAACGAAAAGCCCUGGAUUAAUACCCUGGGGUCAUGACGGUACCGUAAGAAUAAGCACCGGCUAACUACGUGCCAGCAGCCGCGGUAAGAC
rnacentral:rRNA from 1 species